rnacentral:rRNA from 1 species
AAUAGAUACCCGGGUAGUCCACGCCGUAAACGAUGAGUGCUAAGUGUUAGGGGGUUUCCGCCCCUUAGUGCUGCAGCUAACGCAUUAAGCACUCCGCCUGGGGAGUACGGCCGCAAGGCUGAAACUCAAAGGAAUUGACGGGGGCCCGCACAAGCGGUGGAGCAUGUGGUUUAAUUCGAAGCAACGCGAAGAACCUUACCAGGUCUUGACAUCUCCUGACCGCCCUGGAGACAGGGUCUUCCCUUCGGGGACAGGAUGACAGGUGGUGCAUGGUUGUCGUCAGCUCGUGUCGUGAGAUGUUGGGUUAAGUCCCGCAACGAGCGCAACCCUUGUCCUUAGUUGCCAGCAUUCAGUUGGGCACUCUAAGGAGACUGCCGGCUAAAAGUCGGAGGAAGGUGGGGAUGACGUCAAAUCAUCAUGCCCCUUAUGACCUGGGCUACACACGUGCUACAAUGGGCGGUACAGAGGGUCGCGAACCCGGCAAGGGGGAGCCAAUCCCAAAAAACCGCUCUCAGUUCGGAUUGCAGGCUGCAACUCG